UACGUAAGUGGCGAGCGUUAUCCGGAAUUACUGGGCGUAAAGCGUGCGUAGGCGGUGUGGUGUGUUGGAAUUGAAAGCCCUGGGCUCAACUCAGGACCCGGUUCCAAAACUGCCAGACUGGAGCGUAUCAGAGGACAGCGGAAUUCCCGGUGUAGCGGUAAUAUGCGUAGAUAUCGGGAGGAACACCAGUGGCGAAGGCGGCUGUCUGGGGUAUUGCUGACGCUGAGGCACGAAAGCCAGGGGAGCGAACGGG
rnacentral:misc_RNA from 1 species